rnacentral:rRNA from 1 species
GGAGCAAAUCCCUAAAAGCCAUCCCAGUUCGGAUUGCAGGCUGCAACCCGCCUGUAUGAAGUUGGAAUCGCUAGUAAUCGCGGAUCAGCAUGCCGCGGUGAAUACGUUCCCGGGCCUUGUACACACCGCCCGUCAAGCCAUGGGAGCCGGGGGCGCCUGAAGUCCGGGACCGCGAGGACCGGCCUAGGGCGAAACUGGUGACUGGGGCUAAGUCGUAACAAGGUACC